rnacentral:rRNA from 2 species
UACGGAGGGUGCAAGCGUUAAUCGGAAUUACUGGGCGUAAAGCGUGCGUAGGCGGUUAUUUAAGUCAGAUGUGAAAGCCCCGGGCUUAACCUGGGAACUGCAUUUGAUACUGGGUAACUAGAGUUUAAUAGAGGAGAGUGGAAUUUCAGGUGUAGCGGUGAAAUGCGUAGAGAUCUGAAGGAACACCAGUGGCGAAGGCGACUCUCUGGAUUAAAACUGACGCUGAGGUACGAAAGCGUGGGUAGCAAACAGG